GGGAGUAAUACCGUAUGUGCCCUUCGGGGGAAAGAUUUAUCGCCUUUGGAUUGGCCCGCGUUGGAUUAGGUAGUUGGUGGGGUAAUGGCCUACCAAGCCGACGAUCCAUAGCUGGUUUGAGAGGAUGAUCAGCCACACUGGGACUGAGACACGGCCCAGACUCCUACGGGAGGCAGCAGUGGGGAAUCUUAGACAAUGGGCGCAAGCCUGAUCUAGCCAUGCCGCGUGAUCGAUGAAGGCCUUAGGGUUGUAAAGAUCUUUCAGA
rnacentral:rRNA from 1 species